rnacentral:rRNA from 1 species
GACGAACGCUGGCGGCGUGCUUAACACAUGCAAGUCGAACGGAAAGGCCCUGCUUUUGUGGGGUGCUCGAGUGGCGAACGUGUGAGUAACACGUGAGUAACCUGCCCUUGACUUUGGGAUAACUUCAGGAAACUGGGGCUAAUACCGGAUAGGAGCUCCUGCUGCAUGGUGGGGGUUGGAAAGUUUCGGCGGUUGGGGAUGGACUCGCGGCUUAUCAGCUUGUUUGUGGGGUAGUGGCUUACCAAGGCUUUGACGGGUAGCCGGCCUGAGAGGGUGACCGGCCACAUUGCGACUGAGAUACGGCCCAGAAGCCUACGGGAGGCAGCAGUGGGGAAUAUUGCACAAUGGGCGGAAGCCUGAUGCAGCAACGCCGCGUGCGGGAUGACGGCCUUCGGGUUGUGAACCGCUUUCGCCUGUGACGAAGCGUGAGUGACGGUAAUGGGUAAAGAAGCACCGGCUAACUACGUG